CGGUAUUAAGGGUAUUCGAUCCCUUUAAAAAUUUUAUAUUGUAAAUGUCUUUCUUAAGAGGGAAUGAGGUAUAGCAGAAUUUUAGAACUAUAUUUCCACCCGUGUAGUAGCAUAAGUUAAAGUGUCGGUGUCAUGACCUAUUGGUAGUGAGAUUAGACCAAGAAGUUGGUGAUACGAAUUCACAAGUUAGAAGUCAGAGUGAAGGUGACUUUUGUGUAAAUA
rnacentral:lncRNA from 1 species